CGCGGCCUCGGGCCUCGCAGUCUCAGGCAGCCUCUCCUGUCUCCUCGUCAGUCGUCAACCCAUCAACCAUCAUCCUAUUUCCUCCCGGAGCGGGAGAACCCCUCCGCCCUGUCGCCCCGAAGAAAUGCUCCGUGGGUCUGGGGCCGCGCGCGGCUCUAGUCGCCGUUCAGCUCGGCGUAUUUCCAGACGGGGAUGGAGGAGAGAAGGGUAGGCGGAGGGGCCGUGGCGCCGCCGCCAAGGCUAGGCGAACCGGCGAGGGGACGUACGGAUCUUGUUUUUUCAUCAACCUGCGCAGGCAAGCGAAGCCAAGCUGAAUAAGUUACAGCUUCUUCAACUGUAAGCUGUGAGGAAUGUAUGUCAACUUGCUCACAAUAGCCUAAUAUUCUGACAAAUGUUUCUUGCACCUUGGUAUGCCCGCCUAUUCUUAUGUCUCCUUCAGUAUAACCUCCAGUUUUCCUUCCUGCCAAUACAUCUAGUAGAGUUGUCUUCCCAGCUCCACUAACACCCAUUAGUGCAGAAAGAACGCCAGGACGGAAUGCACCAGUGACAUUGUUCAAUAGUUGAAUUCUUUUAGGUGAGUAGCCUUGUUUUAGCAUUCCCUGCAACAAGGGUACAAUUGUUAUACACCUACUUCAAAUAAAAAGUAGGCAAGCACUAAAGAAACAAUAGAACAUUUGAAGAUGAGGCUUUUCAAAUUUACCGAUGGUGUGUCAACAUAGUAGUUGAGAUUGCGGAACGUAAGUGCAAGUUGCAUAGUAGGCAUAGCCAUCUUUGCUGCAAGAAGAUGAAGUUGUAGGUAAUUACGUAUUAGAAUGGAUUCUGGUUUUAAGAAAAAAAUCUACUAGUCUCAUAUUUUUAUUGAAAAGCUUUUGCAGAUUUUACUGUACUAUGGUAUCUUAGUAAUAUCAACAUAAUCAUUUCAGUAGACUCUCGCCUACUAUGCUACCGAGGAGGGGGAGAAGCAGGAUGGUGGUUGAUGGGAUUACCUUCUUGGGUCAUGUUUGCAUGAUCAGUGGAUUCUUUUUGGAUAUUGAUCUCUUUUUCCUGUACUUUAGCAAAGAACUUCCUAGGAAUGCUUCCAUGAUAUGCUACUAUAGCUGAAACAGGUAGAAGCACGAUUUCUUUUUUAAAACAAAUAAAAAUUAUGGUGGUAUCCAUUGCACUUUCUGUAGUGAACUUACGCUUUCGAUAAGCUAGUGCUAGUCCAAAAGCUAUGUAAAACAAAAUGAUGAAUCCAAUAAGGGCCCCAACAGAUAUCCAAUAAAAAUGCCAACUGUAGUAGAGGCCAUGGUUAAUCAAAAUUUGGUUCCCUAUUGUUUUAUUUUGCAUAGUUUCCUGAAAGUAGUAAUAAUAAUAAUAAUGAGGAUGUUGAAUGCUUGGUAGCAGUAAAUUUGUGACAUUUUUCUAUCUGAGAAGAUAUUUCACCUUUUGCCAUCUUGGUGCAAGGAAUUCAUUUAUGGCUGUGCUGAUUUCUGCAUAGGUCAAUGGAGACAUCCAAAAUCCCCAGCUUAACCAUCCUGGCAUAGAGGCUGGGACACAACGGUAGCAUAUAAAACAAGUGCUAAAUGAUAUAGAUGCUCAGUAAUGUGCUUUUCUAUGAUGAUAUUUGUCUUACUUUUGGGAAGAACGAAGCCUCCAAACACUAGGAAGAAUGCUAGCGAUACAAAUGAGUAGAAAAAACAUAAAAUAUGUGUCUGAGCAUGAGCAGCAAUAAAUCGGUACAUUGAUGUUACUGAUUGAUGGAGAAGAGAAAAUAUCAGAAACUGGCAGAAGAACCUGGCAGUGGCUUGAAAGAAAGAGUUUUGCAGUUAGUCAAAUUCCAAACUAGUUCUUAUGAAUGCAAAUUUGAAAAAAUAAUUCAUAAAGAUUUACCUGGAAGCUGAAGGUGUGUAACCAAUACCAUAAUAAGUGAUGCAUAUCCAUACAAGUGAGUCUAAUAAGGAGAUAGGGACCUUCAUGAUUGAUGCAGGUAUUGCAUAUGCCCACGAAGGAUAAAAAUGAUAGCUUUUUUGCUUAUAGAAACUUGGCAGUCUAGCAAUCUGCAUGCUCAUCUCUGGUAUGCCAUUUAGAAUAAUGAUAAAGAUGGAAUAAUAUAAUGCUCCCAUGUAGUAAUGAGCAUGUUUUAAAUCUGUUGUCAUAUGACUUCGAAAGAAUACAAACAUUGUAAUAAUUGCAAUAGUGGAGAGCUGCAUAAAUGAGUAAAAUUAGUUUAUAAUCAUGUACUUUUUAACAAAGAGACUGUGGCUAUUGCAUUUUGUACAAAUAAUUUUUGUGAUCAGCAUAACCUGCACAAUUUUGAAUGCAUAAACAGACAUACUCCUUUUGAUCAAGAGUGCUUCUCUUGCUCCACAUGCUUUGAACAGUUCCAAUUUUGGUAGUGAAUACUUAUUAAAUGAUAAAGAUUUCUUGCCCAAUGUACUUCUCUGAGGCACAUAUGGCUCUUCUAAUUUUCUCUGUUUCUGAUAUCUUCUAAACAUGCUCGAUAAUUGUUGAGAAGAAAUGUAUCUGUAAGAUUCAUCUGUACCAGACCAGUACUGCCUUUGGUCCUUUCUGGACAAUACCUAAGGAUUCCCAAAUUAGGAAAAAUAUAUAUCAUGAACCUUUGAAUAUGCUGUUUUGCCUUUUUAGUUUUAUGAUUUAUAAUUUAUUACCUCUUGGAGAAAGUCUGCCAUCCCUUUUCUCUCUGGGCAUCUGAAGCCACAUUCCUCAAAAAAAAUGUGAGCUUCGUUUCGAGGGCCAUGAUAGAUAAUUUUUCCUUCUGCCAUUAGGAUUAAGUCAUCAAAUAGAUCAAAUACCUCAGGUGUUGGUUGAAGAAGUGAAAUAAGCAUGGUGCAUUCAUUGAUGUUUGCUAGGUCUUGAAAGCACUUGAUUAUUUGGAAAGUAGUAGAGCUAUCCAAACCACUGGAUAUUUCAUCCAUGAAAAAAGCUUUUACUGGUCCAACAAUCAUCUCCGCUGGUUUAGACAAGUGAAAUAGUAUUAAGCGAAUGUUUCUGCGAACACACAAAAUCUUUGCGUGGCAAUCUUAUAGAAGAAGGGAUAAUAUUAGGUCAUCAUUACUAGAAUAUAUUGGCUAACCAUAUUUGCUUUAACUACCUGUUGUUAGUCUUUUCUUCUGACCGCCUGAUAUUCCUCUUCUCAUUGCAUCCCCAACCAUAGUGUCUGCACAUAUGUCUAGCCCCAUGAUCUAUGAAAAAAUAAUCAGUAUUAUGAGCUUUUCUUUAAGGCUUAAGCAUGUAAUUGUUCUUCCUUGAGCACUGUUUUCAGUAAGGUACUCCUAAACUUGUAAGUUUCAGCAAUACAUACCUUCAAAAUGUAGUCUGUUUGUAGGUUUUUCUCUGAAGCUGCAACUGCGGUCGCCUACAUGAUGCAAAUUAGUUUUUGAAUUUUUUGAGAUAUAACUUUCAAAAUUGAAGAAUAGAACAUGGAUUGUUUUAAUCAUAGCCACAUAUAUAAGAACAGAGAUUUGUUUGCUUUUCACCAACAUUGGCACUGCUCUGUUUCUUUCAAGACGUGUACGUGUUCUCAGUUAAACAGAUAAGAUAAUGUUGUUCGCCAGUUUCUAAAAGGAGAUUCUUAUCUUACCUUCAUGUACAGAUUGAUGUCAUGAUCAGGUAUUAUCCCGGCCACCUUCUCCCUUUUGCUCACUUCCUCGAUUAUUUCUUUGGAUAAACAAAACACAAUAUUGUUAUUACUUUGGAACUUAUUUUGUAUAAUGAUAAAUAUUUGUGCAGAAGGAAUUACCUGCUCUACUUCCAACACCUUGGCACUGGGCAGAGAAGUCUAAAGUUUCCCUUACUGUUAUAUCAGAAGGAGCAUAAAGAAUUGAAGAAAAAAUGACACAUUUUUCAUGUUGAAUUAGAAGCACUAUUUGUACCUUCAGAGAUUUAUCAAGUUGACCAGAAAGAGCUCGCAACAGUGUGCUUUUUCCACAUCCUGGAGGUCCCAGUAGAAGAGUCAAUCUGCAAGCAUAUUAAAGUGACACUGAAAUGGAGGUUGUCAUCCUCGACGCGCUUGAGAAGAUUGUCGAAGAACUCUCGCCUCUUGAGAGCGCCCAACUUGCCGCCAUCGAGCAGCAUGUCCUCGCCUGCUUCUUGGGCAUCUGGAGCUCCGUUCCUGUAAUCCCCUGCUGCCAUUUCCAGCUCCAUCGUCUCCUUGGGGUUGGGGUUGGGGGCGUGUUCAUUGGCAGCCAAAGCUGAAGUUGGAAGCUGGGGGGACAGACUCGUCUCUCUUCCAGGAAACUCCAUCUCGAGGUUGAUCACUUCCUCACUCAUUUCUAUCGCCUCGAGGCCCUGGAUGCUAGUGGAAGCAUGUGGUUUCUUCUUCAAAGAGACGCUGGCACUAGCUUUGCAUCACGCCCCUUUAUAUGGCUUGCUUUGGCAUACCCAAGUAAAACUAGGAUCAGUAGUCUCUGACUCAUCAGCUUCCAUUUUUUUUUUGCGAAGCUUCCUGGACGAAUUGUUAAACUUUCAAAUAUGGUCGCCCCGAGAUGCGCGCGGCACUACUCACGACGUGAACAAUAUGGUCGCCGGCCUGCUGCAUAGUAUCUCACCAUAGUCUUGCAACCGUAAUUUAAGCGCGAGGUCAAAAGAGUGCAAGGGGUUGUCAUCAGCACCUUAACUCCGUAAGAAACCCUCUCCGAUCAUGAGAUGUUUGUUUAGUGCUUCGGAUCCUUCUGGUCGGGUUGCAUUUCCUACCUUAUGCAAGGACGAAAGCUCCUAGGAUUUUACUCCUGUUGUUUUAGUUAUUACAGAGUGCUGGUGUAAUCUUGCUUAAAAACAAUCCUAAGGUGUGUUUGACAGGAUUUUCCCUCUUGUCUUACCUCA